rnacentral:rRNA from 1 species
UUAAGCGACUAAGCGUACACGGUGGAUGCCCUGGCAGUCAGAGGCGAUGAAGGACGUGCUAAUCUGCGAUAAGCGUCGGUGAGGUGAUAUGAACCGUUAUAACCGGCGAUUUCCGAAUGGGGAAACCCAGUGUGUUUCGACACACUAUCAUUAACUGAAUCCAUAGGUUAAUGAGGCGAACCGGGGGAACUGAAACAUCUAAGUACCCCGAGGAAAAGAAAUCAACCGAGAUUCCCCCAGUAGCGGCGAGCGAACGGGGAGCAGCCCAGAGCCUGAAUCAGUGUGUGUGUUAGUGGAAGCGUCUGGAAAGGCGCGCGAUACAGGGUGACAGCCCCGUACACAAAAAUGCACAUGCUGUGAGCUCGAUGAGUAGGGCGGGACACGUGGUAUCCUGUCUGAAUAUGGGGGGACCAUCCUCCAAGGCUAAAUACUCCUGACUGACCGAUAGUGAACCAGUACCGUGAGGGAAAGGCGAAAAGAACCCCGGCGAGGGGAGUGAAAAAGAACCUGAAACUGUGUACGUACAAGCAGUGGGAGCCUCUUUAUGGGGUGACUGCGUACCUUUUGUAUAAUGGGUCAGCGACUUAUAUUCUGUAGCAAGGUUAACCGAAUAGGGGAGCCGAAGGGAAACCGAGUCUUAACUGGGCGUUAAGUUGCAGGGUAUAGACCCGAAACCCGGUGAUCUAGCCAUGGGCAGGUUGAAGGUUGGGUAACACUAACUGGAGGACCGAACCGACUAAUGUUGAAAAAUUAGCGGAUGACUUGUGGCUGGGGGUGAAAGGCCAAUCAAACCGGGAGAUAGCUGGUUCUCCCCGAAAGCUAUUUAGGUAGCGCCUCGUGAAUUCAUCUCCGGGGGUAGAGCACUGUUUCGGCAAGGGGGUCAUCCCGACUUACCAACCCGAUGCAAACUGCGAAUACCGGAGAAUGUUAUCACGGGAGACACACGGCGGGUGCUAACGUCCGUCGUGAAGAGGGAAACAACCCAGACCGCCAGCUAAGGUCCCAAAGUCAUGGUUAAGUGGGAAACGAUGUGGGAAGGCCCAGACAGCCAGGAUGUUGGCUUAGAAGCAGCCAUCAUUUAAAGAAAGCGUAAUAGCUCACUGGUCGAGUCGGCCUGCGCGGAAGAUGUAACGGGGCUAAACCAUGCACCGAAGCUGCGGCAGCGACGCUUAUGCGUUGUUGGGUAGGGGAGCGUUCUGUAAGCCUGCGAAGGUGUGCUGUGAGGUAUGCUGGAGGUAUCAGAAGUGCGAAUGCUGACAUAAGUAACGAUAAAGCGGGUGAAAAGCCCGCUCGCCGGAAGACCAAGGGUUCCUGUCCAACGUUAAUCGGGGCAGGGUGAGUCGACCCCUAAGGCGAGGCCGAAAGGCGUAGUCGAUGGGAAACAGGUUAAUAUUCCUGUACUUGGUGUUACUGCGAAGGGGGGACGGAGAAGGCUAUGUUGGCCGGGCGACGGUUGUCCCGGUUUAAGCGUGUAGGCUGGUUUUCCAGGCAAAUCCGGAAAAUCAAGGCUGAGGCGUGAUGACGAGGCACUACGGUGCUGAAGCAACAAAUGCCCUGCUUCCAGGAAAAGCCUCUAAGCAUCAGGUAACAUCAAAUCGUACCCCAAACCGACACAGGUGGUCAGGUAGAGAAUACCAAGGCGCUUGAGAGAACUCGGGUGAAGGAACUAGGCAAAAUGGUGCCGUAACUUCGGGAGAAGGCACGCUGAUAUGUAGGUGAAGCGACUUGCUCGUGGAGCUGAAAUCAGUCGAAGAUACCAGCUGGCUGCAACUGUUUAUUAAAAACACAGCACUGUGCAAACACGAAAGUGGACGUAUACGGUGUGACGCCUGCCCGGUGCCGGAAGGUUAAUUGAUGGGGUUAGCGGUAACGCGAAGCUCUUGAUCGAAGCCCCGGUAAACGGCGGCCGUAACUAUAACGGUCCUAAGGUAGCGAAAUUCCUUGUCGGGUAAGUUCCGACCUGCACGAAUGGCGUAAUGAUGGCCAGGCUGUCUCCACCCGAGACUCAGUGAAAUUGAACUCGCUGUGAAGAUGCAGUGUACCCGCGGCAAGACGGAAAGACCCCGUGAACCUUUACUAUAGCUUGACACUGAACAUUGAGCCUUGAUGUGUAGGAUAGGUGGGAGGCUUUGAAGUGUGGACGCCAGUCUGCAUGGAGCCGGCCUUGAAAUACCACCCUUUAAUGUUUGAUGUUCUAACGUUGGCCCCUGAUCGGGGUUGCGGACAGUGUCUGGUGGGUAGUUUGACUGGGGCGGUCUCCUCCUAAAGAGUAACGGAGGAGCACGAAGGUUGGCUAAUCCUGGUCGGACAUCAGGAGGUUAGUGCAAUGGCAUAAGCCAGCUUGACUGCGAGCGUGACGGCGCGAGCAGGUGCGAAAGCAGGUCAUAGUGAUCCGGUGGUUCUGAAUGGAAGGGCCAUCGCUCAACGGAUAAAAGGUACUCCGGGGAUAACAGGCUGAUACCGCCCAAGAGUUCAUAUCGACGGCGGUGUUUGGCACCUCGAUGUCGGCUCAUCACAUCCUGGGGCUGAAGUAGGUCCCAAGGGUAUGGCUGUUCGCCAUUUAAAGUGGUACGCGAGCUGGGUUUAGAACGUCGUGAGACAGUUCGGUCCCUAUCUGCCGUGGGCGCUGGAGAACUGAGGGGGGCUGCUCCUAGUACGAGAGGACCGGAGUGGACGCAUCACUGGUGUUCGGGUUGUCAUGCCAAUGGCACUGCCCGGUAGCUAAAUGCGGAAGAGAUAAGUGCUGAAAGCAUCUAAGCACGAAACUUGCCCCGAGAUGAGUUCUCCCUGAGACUUAGAGUCUCCUGAAGGAACGUUGAAGACGACGACGUUGAUAGGCCGGGUGUGUAAGCGCAGCGAUGCGUUGAGCUAACCGGUACUAAUGAACCGUGAGGCUUAACCUU